rnacentral:rRNA from 1 species
UGGGGAAUAUUGCACAAUGGGCGCAAGCCUGAUGCAGCCAUGCCGCGUGUAUGAAGAAGGCCUUCGGGUUGUAAAGUACUUUCAGUCGGGAGGAAGGUGGUAAGGUUAAUAACCUUAUCAAUUGACGUUACCGACAGAAGAAGCACCGGCUAACUCCGUGCCAGCAGCCGCGGUAAUACGGAGGGUGCAAGCGUUAAUCGGAAUUACUGGGCGUAAAGCGCACGCAGGCGGUCUGUCAAGUCGGAUGUGAAAUCCCCGGGCUCAACCUGGGAACUGCAUUCGAAACUGGCAGGCUAGAGUCUUGUAGAGGGGGGUAGAAUUCCAGGUGUAGCGGUGAAAUGCGUAGAGAUCUGGAGGAAUACCGGUGGCGAAUGCGGCCCCCUGGACAAAGACUGACGCUCAGGUGCGAAAGCGUGGGGAGCAAACAGG